GAGGAAAAGGAACCAACAGGGAUUGCCUCAGUAACGGCGAGUGAAGCGGCAACAGCUCAAAUUUGAAAUCUGGCCCUAGGCCCGAGUUGUAAUUUGCAGAGGAUGCUUUUGGCAAGGUGCCUUCCGAGUUCCCUGGAACGGGACGCCAUAGAGGGUGAGAGCCCCGUCUGGUCGGACACCGAGCCUCUGUAAAGCUCCUUCGACGAGUCGAGUAGUUUGGGAAUGCUGCUCAAAAUGGGAGGUAUAUGUCUUCUAAAGCUAAAUACCGGCCAGAGACCGAUAGCGCACAAGUAGAGUGAUCGAAAGAUGAAAAGCACUUUGAAAAGAGAGUUAAAUAGCACGUGAAAUUGUUGAAAGGGAAGCGUUUAUGACCAGACUUGGCCCGGUUGAUCAUCCAGCCUUCUGGCUGGUGCACUUUGCCGGUCCAGGCCAGCAUCAGUUCGUCGCGGGGGAUAAAGGUUUCGGGAAUGUAUCUCCUCCGGGAGUGUUAUAGCCCGUUGCGUAAUACCCUGCGGUGGACUGAGGUCCGCGC
rnacentral:rRNA from 1 species